rnacentral:tRNA from 1 species
GGACCCGUCGCCUAGCCUGGUUACUUUUAAAGGUAAAUAGGGCACAGACCUCCUAAGUCUGGUCUCGGGGGUUCAAAUGCAAGCAAUCUAUGCAAGUGGGGUGAGCAUAAAGCCAACCAUGAAAGUCCCCUCGGGUCCG